UAGCUCAGUCGGUUAGAGCAGCGGACUCAUAAUCCGUUUGUCCCGGGUUCGAGCCCCG
rnacentral:tRNA from 1 species